GCAAGUCGAGCGCAGGAAGCCGUCUGAACCCUUCGGGGGGACGACGGUGGAAUGAGCGGCGGACGGGUGAGUAACACGUAAAGAACCUGCCCAUAGGUCUGGGAUAACCACGAGAAAUCGGGGCUAAUACCGGAUGUGUCAUCGGACCGCAUGGUCCGCUGAUGAAAGGCGCUCCGGCGUCGCCCAUGGAUGGCUUUGCGGUGCAUUAGCUAGUUGGUGGGGUAACGGCCCACCAAGGCGACGAUGCAUAGCCGACCUGAGAGGGUGAUCGGCCACACUGGGACUGAGACACGGCCCAGACUCCUACGGGAGGCAGCAGUAGGGAAUCUUCCACAAUGGACGAAAGUCUGAUGGAGCAACGCCGCGUGAACGAUGAAGGCUUUCGGGUCGUAAAGUUCUGUUGUAAGGGAAGAACAAGUGCCGCAGGCAAUGGCGGCACCUUGACGGUACCUUGCGAGAAAGCCACGGCUAACUACGUGCCAGCAGCCGCGGUAAUACGUAGGUGGCAAGCGUUGUCCGGAAUUAUUGGGCGUAAAGCGCGCGCAGGCGGCCUCUUAAGUCUGAUGUGAAAGCCCCCGGCUCAACCGGGGAGGGCCAUUGGAAACUGGGAGGCUUGAGUAUAGGAGAGAAGAGUGGAAUUCCACGUGUAGCGGUGAAAUGCGUAGAGAUGUGGAGGAACACCAGUGGCGAAGGCGACUCUUUGGCCUAUAACUGACGCUGAGGCGCGAAAGCGUGGGGAGCAAACAGGAUUAGAUACCCU
rnacentral:rRNA from 1 species